AGCUUCUCGCCGCCGUCUUCUGAGAUGAUUGAGAUGAACCCCUAACUCUAUGUUGGCUCUGUCCUGCACAUACUGGAGUUCGAUAAUCAACCGACUUGCACAAGAUUGUGCGAGGAGGAUAGGAGAGAGACGCAGGGAGGCGGACCCAUGCACCCCAACGGUGCGGCUCUCUAGUGUUUACAUAUGUUCACGAGUCAUUCUGUUUUGUAGGUUUUGACAAUAAUCCUUCCACAAGUUCAUCUAUGAAUCUUGUUUCGAUUUCUUCUUCCUCUAAAGGUCACUUGUUCAUGAAUUGCCAUAAAUAGACUUAACUCUUGCUGCA
rnacentral:misc_RNA from 1 species